rnacentral:misc_RNA from 1 species
UAACUCUCGUGCUUGGUCUAACCCACCUCGUCACGGAUUUGGACGUUGCCGGCGCGAGUCGGCUCGUCUCGAAAUGCAUUAGCUAGAGUGCACGUCACGUGCGGCGUUGAUAAUUGUCUACGUCCUGCGAGUCGAGCGCCCUGCUCCCAAUCGCCCUUCAUCGGGCAACAUUUCAAA